AUUGAACGCUGGCGGAAUGCUUUACACAUGCAAGUCGAGCGGCAGCGCGGCCUUCGGGCUGGCGGCGAGCGGCGAACGGGUGAGUAAUGCAUCGGAACAUGCCCAGUCGUGGGGGAUAACACUUCGAAAGAAGUGCUAAUACCGCAUACGUCCUGAGGGGGAAAGCGGGGGAUCGCAAGACCUCGCGCGAUUGGAGUGGCCGAUGUCAGAUUAGCUAGUUGGUGGGGUAAAGGCCUACCAAGGCGACGAUCUGUAGCUGGUCUGAGAGGAUGAUCAGCCACACUAGGACUGAGACACGGCCCAGACUCCUACGGGAGGCAGCAGUGGGGAAUUUUGGACAAUGGGGGCAACCCUGAUCCAGCCAUUCCGCGUGAGUGAAGAAGGCCUUCGGGUUGUAAAGCUCUUUCGGCAGGAACGAAACGGUGGGCUCUAACAUAGUCCGCUAAUGACGGUACCUGAAGAAGAAGCACCGGCUAACUACGUG
rnacentral:rRNA from 1 species